rnacentral:rRNA from 1 species
AUUGAACGCUGGCGGCAGGCUUAACACAUGCAAGUCGAGCGAGCGGCGGACGGGUGAGUAAUGUCUGGGAAACUGCCCGAUGGCGGGGGAUAACUACUGGAAACGGUAGCUAAUACCGCAUACCAUCAGAUGUGCCCAUAUGGGAUUAGCUAGUAGGUGGGGUAAAGGCUCACCUAGGCGACGAUCCCUAGCUGGUCUGAGAGGAUGACCAGCCACACUGGGACUGAGACACGGUCCAGACUCCGACGGGAGGCAGCAGUGGGGAAUAUUGCACAAUGGGCGCAAGCCUGAUGCAGCAAUGCCGCGUGUGUGAAGAAGGUCUUCGGAUUGUAAAGCACUUUCGGCGGGGAGGCGUUAUCCGCAGAAGAAGCACCGGCUAACUCCGUGCCAGCAGCCGCGGUAAUAC